AUAAUAAAAUUAAUAAACAGGACAGGUGUUUAGUUUUCAUCGGGAGACCUUAGGCUUGGUUAGAAAUGUGGCCUUGGUUUGUCCCUUCUUCGUGGACAAAUUAAUAAAUACACUGUCCACCCCUUCUUCGUGGACAGCCAAGUAUAUAUUGUCCUACUCUAAAUACACUGCCCACCCCUUCUUCUUGAGUCCCGUUACAAACAACGUCUGCACCACCCAAGAUUUUCCUCGUCUUCAAAUCCUUCCCUCGGAGGCGGCGGCGGCGGCGGCAAAGUUUUGGAUUCUCCCCGAUCCUUAGUGACCUCUUCCGGCGUCUGCGCUUUGAGGUUAAGGGCGAGGGCGAGUAGGAGGGGCACCCUAUCUUCCUCUUCCGCGCGUUCCGGUUUUGUUUCCGUCUUUGCUUGGUUGAGUGUGGAUUGAGUGAACCUUCGUCGCUACCACAGAAGCGUUGUGCAGUACCAAUGGUUGGGUGUCGUGAAUUUUUUUUCCUUCAUAUAGAUUUGACAACUUUAUUGCCAAAAAAGAAUAGAUUUAACAACUUUGGAGAGAUUGAAUUUUUGUUUUUGUAGAAUUGGUGAUGAAUGGCUGGUUGAUUGGGUUUAAUCUUUAUUUCCUUGAGGGUUUCUAAGCAGGAUAUAUUUGCCCCUUCAUCACCUUCUCCUUCAAUAUCAGUAUUGUCUAAUGCUGAUAUAUCAAAGAAGCUACUUGAGCAGUGCCGUGCACCUGACAAUGUCGCUACAGAGCAGCGCUGUGCACCUGACAAUGUCGCUACAGAGAAGCGCCGUGCACCUGACAAUGUCGCUACAGAGCAGCGACGUGCCCCUGACAAUGUUGCUACAGAAAAAUCCCCUCCCCUAUCUCAAAGCAACAACAGCUGGUGGGCUAGAUGGUUCUCAUGUGGGAGUGGGAGUGGGAGUAGAUGACGCAGUUUUGCUGUAUAGCGAAGACCAAGCUGAACCAUGGUAUAAGUUUACAGGAGAAUUUAGCUAACAGGAAAAUGUAUUCCCAUUACUCAUUUAUUUGGAUUUUUGGAGAAAUUAGUUAGGAUACAGAGCCUUGAAUUUUGGUUUGGUUAUAAUGGAUGAAUUUUGGGUUGGUUAUAAUGGAUGAAUUUGAUUUU